rfam:Candidatus Beckwithbacteria bacterium CG1_02_47_37 cg1_0.2_scaffold_18375_c, whole genome shotgun sequence.
GGCAGGGUAGCUCAGUCGGUGGAGCGUGGCAUUCAUAAAGCCAAGGUCGUGGGUUCGAUCCCCACCCCUGCUA